CUGCGUUCCAGAAGGAUCGCUGCUGCUGCUGCGGUGAGAACAGAUACGGCCCAGGCGACCAGGCGAGAAGCAGAGAGACUCCGGAAGAGCCGGUUCGAGUCGUCCAGGCAGGAGGGGGCGAAGAGCGGUUGUAUCCCAGAGCAUAUUCUAAAGGUUCAGCGGACAGGACUCGCCCGCGCGUCGUCAUGGGUUGGGGGAGAAAGACAGGCGUCGAGGAUGACGCUGACAAUCAGAAAUAGCCAGUGGCCGCCAGCUGACAGGAAAUGGCAGCCCACUCCAGUGUUCCUGCCUGGAGAAUCCCAGGGACGGCGGAGCCUGGGGGGCUGCCGUCCAUGGGUCGCACAGAGUCAGACAUAACUGAGCGACUUCCCUUUCACUUUUCACUUUCAUGCAUUGGAGAAGGAAAUGGCAACCACUCCAGUGUUCCUGCCUGGAGAAUCCCAGGAACCGCGGAGCCUGGGGGGCUGCCGUCUAUGGCGUUGCACAGAGUCGGACACGACUGAAGCGACUCAGCAGCAGCAGCAGCAGCAGCAGCAGCAGCAGCAGCAGCAGCAGCAGCAGCAGCAGCAGCAGGAGCUGACAGGAAGGCCACGGCGACGUAAGCGUUGGGAAGGAAGAGCACGAGCUUUGGGGGUGUUGACCUUCGGCUGCCAGGAUGAUCCUGAGUAGGCAUUUAAAGCUCGGAACAGAGGUCUGGGGAAGAUGACAAACUGGGGAAUAAUCAGCAGGGAGGUGGCACUUAGAAGCCAGAGAGCGUGUAGGUAGACAAGAGGAGGACUGGGACGCUGAGGAUGAGACAGAGCGGGAGGACCCCGCAGGGCACUGGGGGAGAAGCCUCCACCGGUGAACCCGGAGGGAGCAGGAGGAGGAGGCCGGACCGCGGACGCCACGCGACUUGUGGAAAUGCGCACCCACAGAAGUCUCUACAAGUGUAGAUUGAAAAGUUCAUCCAACUAAGAUGUGUGAGACUCUUAAGGGACACGAAGAACAGGAUCAGAGAUGCCGUUCUCCCAGAAACAGUCUAUUGCACCUGACAGAAUGUAUCCGGUCCUGAACUUGAAAAGGUUCCACUCCUAUUUGUAACUCAGUGACCCUGAGGCCCAAAUUGGUAUUGAACUUUCUGAAAAAGCACUCUUGAUUCUUUAAUAAGAACUUACUGGUAAUUAGCGCCCUAGCCUG
ensembl:lncRNA